rnacentral:rRNA from 1 species
CAGUCGCGGUAAUACGAAGGGUGCAAGCGUUAAUCGGAAUUACUGGGCGUAAAGCGUGCGUAAGCGGUGAGUUAAGUCUGCUGUGAAAUCCCCGGGCUCAACCUGGGAACUGCAUUUGUGACUGGCAAGCUAGAGUGUGGCAGAGGGGGGUGGAAUUCCGCGUGUAGCAGUGAAAUGCGUAGAUAUGCGGAGGAACACCGAUGGCGAAGGCAGCCCCCUGGGCCAACACUGACGCUCACGCACGAAAGCGUGGGGAGCAAACAGGAUUAGAUACCCCUGUAGUCCCUGUCUCUUAUACACA